CCAGGACAGAAAGGCAGCAACGGUUCGCACGU
rnacentral:SRP_RNA from 13 species